AAGUCGUAACAAGGUUUCCGUAGGUGAACCUGCGGAAGGAUCAUUCUUGUAUAAUAACUAAUUAGUUUGCUCCGGCAAAUCUAAACUAUGUGAACCGUGCUCGCUCAAUUGCAGUGCGAUUGUUUGUGUUUGUUUGUCUGUCGCUGACACAUUUAAGAGACAUGCGACUUGGCUUUUGCCUGAGUCUAAGCGUCUUGUGUUAGUGACUGCAAGCUGCACUAGCCUGCAGUCGGGUAACAAUUAAGCAGAUUUAAAGUCUAUACAACUACACUUUAUUUAUUGUCUUAAUCAAAACACUUAAACAAAGUACAACUUUUAGCAACGGAUCUCUAGGCUCUC
rnacentral:misc_RNA from 1 species